rnacentral:rRNA from 1 species
UAUUACGGAAGCAGUUAGAGAUAAUUGCUUACAUCUUCGGAUGACUGUAAUACAGGUGGUGCAUGGUUGUCGUCAGCUCGUGUCGUGAGAUGUUGGGUUAAGUCCCAUAACGAGCGCAACCCCUAUUGCUAGUUACCAUCAUUAAGUUGGGGACUCUAGUAAUACUGCCGGUGACAAACCGGAGGAAGGUGGGGAUGACGUCAAAUCAUCAUGCCCUUUAUGACUUGGGCUACACACGUGCUACAAUGGCAGGUACACAGGGUUGCAAGACUGCAAAGUUAAGCGAAACUCAAAAAGCCUGUCCCAGUUCGGAUUGCACUCUGCAACUCGAGUGCAUGAAGUUGGAGUUGCUAGUAAUCGUGGAUCAGAAUGCCGCGGUGAAUGCGUUCCCGGGCCUUGUACACACCG